GUCUGGAUUAAUCCCUAGUAUAUAUAAAAAAGCAUUGUUUGCCUCUCUUAUGUGCCUCCAUGUCGGAUGCAGCCUGGAAAGUCGAUCGUCUACAACUUGACACGUCGGAUCCGUUUUGUUACCGAUUCAGCGAAGUGGGCUUUCGAUUGUUCAUAUUUUGUAUGGGCUUUCUGUUGCUGAGUAUGUUCAUUUUUUGGCCCAACAAACAUAAACCGUCUCUGACCGACAAGAGAACGAGAGAGGCGUCCCACAUCCUUCGACGGCGAGAUUAUGACGUUUCCGCUUUCCCUCGCCAAAUGUAACGCUCUGAGUUAAGAUUUCGUGAUUAAUCCACUCAAAUCGCUCUCCCACGAUGUGUAUUCAAAGCAAUCUUCAAGCUAAGAGGCGGUGUAAUCUAUGUAUAAAUAGGGGUUUCUUUUCUCUGAUCUGAAGUCCGGCAAGUGUACCUCCGUCGUCGAGGCUAGGCUCCUGCGGUUCUGGGAGGCCAGGAACGUUAAACGCGGUGGGGAGCUCAUGUGGGUAGAUAUGCUUCUGGUGGAUGUUAACGUAAGUCUGUUCUUCCUAAUUUUUUUUUUUUUUUGUAAUUCAACAAUAUUCCGACGAGUUUCCUCGAGCAGGUUAUGUUAUUGUUUCACUUGAGAGAAACUUAUUUGUCUUUGGAGAGUUUAAGGAUUCUCAGAAUCUUUGCAGUUUUAAUACAGUUUUUGAUGAUGAUAUGUAAAGCCAUAACGGUGAAGGCUUCAAUUGCUUUAUCUGUCUUCUGAUUUCAAAAUAAAAUAUUAUUGUCGGUUUUUCAUGAUAUAAAUGGGUAUAUUUUCCGAAGGGUCAUCAGCUACAUUUUGUGAUGCAGCAAUUUGUUCACGUCCUGACACUGCAUGUUCUUUUUUCUUUGUUAUGGCUGCAAUAAGAAUCUUGAGCCGUUGAAUGACAUCUACUACCUAAGCACAUGUUUGUCUCGACCUUUCUGUUGGUUAUAACACAAUUUCUUUUGUGCAAGGUUGCUAAUUGCCGUCCUAAUAUUCUUUGCUUAUGGCCAUCAGAUCGUGGAUAUGAUAAACGGUUUGGUUGUCUGGAAAGAAACAAAUGAAGCUAAAUUGUUGAGAGCAGAAAUUAGUUGUGGCUGGAACCAGCAUUGAUGAAUGUGUGUUGUUAACUCUUACGAUUGAAAACAUGUAGCCCUUUUGUAAAUAAGAAUGGAUGUGUAUGGUUCUAUUGCUGGAAAAGAGAAUACACAAAUAUGUAAGCCAAAUUUCAGUCAUAUGUCGUUCGUGGAGCAAGAUUAAAAUUGUUACAUGAUCACCAGUCAAUAGAAUUUCCAGCUUUAUAUAUGUAUCACGUGCUUUCCAUGGCAAUAGGGGAGGGCUCUCGCCAACGAUGCAACGUACUGCCACAACAUACUUACAAACAUAAAGAUAUGAAAGGCCAAAAGUGAGAAAUGAGCAGACUAAACCCAAUCCAGAGGCAAGAACUUACAGUUGCUGCUCUACCUUUGCUGAAGUAAUUGCAUUUCAGAAGCUAUUACUAAAGUUCACUUCUUGCUUCACGACCAAGCUCAAGCUCUUCUCCAUCCGGGAACCAUCCUUCCUAAGUGAGCAUGUUUGCUUCUAUCUAAUGUUGUGAUUAGCGUCUUUUAACUGCCAGUUUAAGAAACGCUAUUAGUCGCAGAAAAGUACAAGCUUGGUUGUUAUGUACUGCUACCUUUCGUAUUUCUAAUAUAUGAAAAGAAUCAUUGUUUA